rnacentral:rRNA from 2 species
GACGAACGCUGGCGGCGUGCUUAACACAUGCAAGUCGAACGAUGAAAGAGAAUCCGAUCUCUUCGGAGUGAAGAAUCUCUGGAUUAGUGGCGGACGGGUGAGUAACGCGUGAGCAAUCUGCCUUACACAAAGGGAUAGCCUCGGGAAACCGGGAUUAAUACCAUAUGAUAUCUAUUAACCGCAUGGUUUAUAGAUUAAAGAAUUUCGGUGUAAGAUGAGCUCGCGUCCCAUUAAUUAGUUGGUGAGGGUAACGGCCCACCAAGAUAGCGAUGGGUAGCCGAUCUAAGAGGAUGACCGGCCACAUUGGAACUGAGAAACGGUCCAAACUCCUACGGGAGGCAGCAGUGGGGAAUAUUGCACAAUGGGGGAAACCCUGAUGCAGCGACGCCGCGUGAGCGAUGAAGGCUUUCGAGUCGUAAAGCUCUGUCCUAUGGGAAGAUAAUGACGGUACCAUAGAAGAAAGCCCCGGCUAAUUACGUGCCAGCAGCCGCGGUAA